rnacentral:misc_RNA from 1 species
ACUCGCGAAGCUAAAGCGGGA